AGAACGAACGCUGGCGGCAUGCCUAACACAUGCAAGUCGAACGAGACCUUCGGGUCUAGUGGCGCACGGGUGCGUAACGCGUGGGAAUCUGCCCUUGGGUUCGGGAUAACAGUUGGAAACGACUGCUAAUACCGGAUGAUGACUUCGGUCCAAAGAUUUAUCGCCCAGGGAUGAGCCCGCGUAGGAUUAGCUAGUUGGUGAGGUAAAGGCUCACCAAGGCGACGAUCCUUAGCUGGUCUGAGAGGAUGAUCAGCCACACUGGGACUGAGACACGGCCCAGACUCCUACGGGAGGCAGCAGUGGGGAAUAUUGGACAAUGGGCGAAAGCCUGAUCCAGCAAUGCCGCGUGAGUGAUGAAGGCCUUAGGGUGUAAGCUCUUUACCCGGGAUAUAAUGACUGUACCGGAGAAUAACGCCCGGCUAACUCCGCGCCAGCAGCCGC
rnacentral:rRNA from 1 species